rnacentral:rRNA from 1 species
GAUGAACGCUAGCUACAGGCUUAACACAUGCAAGUCGAGGGGAAACGAUAGAGAAAGCUUGCUUUUUCUAGGCGUCGACCGGCGCACGGGUGAGUAACGCGUAUCCAACCUGCCCACCACUUGGGGAUAACCUUGCGAAAGUAAGACUAAUACCCAAUGAUAUCUCAAGAAGACAUCUGAAUGAGAUUAAAGAUUUAUCGGAGAUGGAUGGGGAUGCGUCUGAUUAGCUUGUUGGCGGGGUAACGGCCCAACAAGGCGACGAUCAGUAGGGGGUCUGAGAGGAAGGUCCACCACAUUGGAACUGAGACACGGUCCAAACUCCUACGGGAGGCAGCAGAGAGGAAUAUUGGUCAAUGUGCUAGAGCCUGAACCAGCCAAGUAGCGUGUAGGAUGACGGCCCGAUGGGUUGUAAACUGCUUUUAUAAGGGAAAAAAUUGAGUCUCGUGAGGCUUUUUGCAUGUACCUUAUUAAUAAGGACCGACUAAUUCCGUGCCAGCAGCCGCCGUAA